UAUGUUCUAAAAAGCCUAGUUCUAGAGCUUCCCUGGGAUCAUUCUGUGGUGGGCCUUGGGGUAUGGGCUGCUGGCCCCUUGUUCAGUGAUCUGGCUUCUAAACUUGGUUCUCUCCCCAUAUCUUACCAAGAGAGGAAAGGAUGUACCUAAUUGCUUCUUUCAGGCAUAGGUUGAGAUAAUCCCCAUUCCCUGGUGCUCCUUCAGCCUACUGGUGAGUGGAGAGCAGGCUAAGAAAGGUAUACACUUAAUCCUUACCCAUGUGGGAAAAAGGGACGGAGGGAGGAAGAAAACUUGAACCUGAGCUGAGAAGGGAUGGCCAAUGCUGGCAGAGGUAAAAUGUCCCCAUGGACACCUUCUUCUCCGAGAGGAUUGCCUGUGCUAAAUACAAAGAGUUCAGGGCACGGGUCAUGGGGAUGGUAAAGGGACCAGUGGGCUGACAGUCUGCAUCCAUGUGGGCACUGUCCAUCUAUCUGUAAGCUUUGACCCCCCCUCUCCAAGCCACAGUCUCUGUCCUUUGCCCUCUUAGUUCCCUCCUCCUAACUGGGCUGCCUCUUGCUCUCUUUCUCCCUGAGGCUAUGACAAUGGCAGGGUACCCAGCCAUGGCAUGAACGUCAGCCUCAGUUUCCAGUUCUCAGCAAGUGUAUGAGUGUGAGUGUGUGUGUAAGGGCUAGGGCUGGGGUCUUCCACGGAGCACAGAAGUAGAGAGCUUCUGAGGGUGGGGCCGCCCGUCGGUCACACCCUACACCCUGGAGCCCUGAGGACCUGUCACUCAGACCCACCACCAGCCUCAACACCAUGAGCAGCCAAAGCAGCAUCAGUCACUGACCAGAGGAGCCCAGACGUCACAGGAGUGCUCGCAAGGGCCAGUACCUUGAAGAAACUCUGGAAUAAAUACAUCUGGGCCUUUGAAAAUGGAGGCCACCCUCUGCACUGCUGACAGAAUGAUCAUCCCAGACACCUACGCACCAAAAGGAACUGCUGACCCUAUGAAGGCUUCCCAGCAGCAGGGACAAGACGACCUGGAAAUCUGCGUGCUCAUUAAGAUUACAUGGCUACAGGCUACAGCACCUUUGGAGAGUCCUUCUGUUAACACUCUCAGUAGCUUCUCCCCAUCUCCCUGUGCUCACAGGCAUCUUCCUGCAGACAGGUCUUCUUCAUAUUACAAAAGAAGCCAGAGCACAUCACCUUUCUGCAUGUCUGCCAUGUUCUUCAAACAGUGGGCUGGCGCCAGAUAUGUGUCACAUGGUCAAGAGCUUCCUACCACCCUUGGGCAGGGGACUGUGGGAGAUUCUCAGAGCCAUCUGCCUUGA
rnacentral:lncRNA from 1 species